CUCCCUGCCCAGUGACAAUUUGUUCAACGGCCGCGGUAUCCUGACCGUGCAAAGGUAGCAUAAUCAUUUGCCUUUUAAUUGGAGGCUAGUAUGAAUGGGUAGACGCAGAUUCGGCUGUCUCAUAUUUGUUUCUAAAAUUUAAACUCCAGGUGAAGAUGCCUGGUUUCCAUAGAAAGACAAGAAGACCCUAUAGAGUUUUAGUUAAACGGCUAUCUUUCUAUUAUUCUAUAACUUUGGUUGGGGCGACCUAGGAUUACCUUUCAACAUCCUUUUAUUAUCAGAUCUAAAUAAAUCUUUAAAAUUGACCCUAAAACAGACAAUUAGAAUUAACUACCUUAGGGAUAACAGGCUUAUCUUCCUAGAGAGCUCUUAUUGAUAGGAUGGUUUGGCACCUCGAUGUUGGCUUAGAGUAACUUACUACCGCAGCAGGUAUUAAAAGUCAGUUUGUUCAACUGUUAAAUCUCUACGUGAUCUGAGUUUCCAAACCGGA
rnacentral:rRNA from 1 species